AUAUUCCUGUACCGAUGUGUAGUGCGAUGUGGGGACGGAUCUUAAUAGGUCAUCCGGGUGUUGGAUAUCCCGGUUUAGUUGGAAGUAGGCGAUGGGUAGGCAAAUCCGCCCGUCAUAUACCGAGGCCAACGAUCGAGCCAGCUUGCUGGUGAAGUGACUAACGAGGUUCCAGGAAAAGCCACUAAGCUUCAGCUAUACACGACCGUACCGCAAACCGACACUGGUGCGCGAGAUGAGUAUUCUAAGGCGCUUGAGAGAACUCAGGAGAAGGAACUCGGCAAAUUGACACCGUAACUUCGGAAGAAGGUGUGCCCUAUUAGUGUGAAGUGAACAACGGAGCAUGAAUGGGUUGCAAAAAAUCGGUGGCUGCGACUGUUUAUUAAAAACACAGCACUCUGCAAACACGAAAGUGGACGUAUAGGGUGUGACGCCUGCCCGGUGCUGGAAGAUUAAAUGAUGGGGUGCAAGCUCUUGAUUGAAGUCCCAGUAAACGGCGGCCGUAACGAUAACGGUCCUAAGGUAGCGAAAUUCCUUGUCGGGUAAGUUCCGACCUGCACGAAUGGCGUAACGAUGGCCACACUGUCUCCUCCUGAGACUCAGCGAAGUUGAAAUGUUUGUGAUGAUGCAAUCUCCCCGCGGAAAGACGGAAAGACCCCAUGAACCUUUACUGUAGCUUUGUAUUGGACUUUGAACAGAUCUGUGUAGGAUAGGUGGGAGGCUUUGAAGCAGGGUCGCUAGAUCUUGUGGAGCCAACGUUGAAAUACCACCCUGGUGUGUUUGAGGUUCUAACCUAGGUCCAUUAUCUGGAUCAGGGACAGUGCAUGGUAGGCAGUUUGACUGGGGCGGUCUCCUCCCAAAGCGUAACGGAGGAGUUCGAAGGUACGCUAGUUACGGUCGGACAUCGUGACGAUAGUGCAAUGGCAUAAGCGUGCUUAACUGCGAGACUGACAAGUCGAGCAGAUGCGAAAGCAGGACAUAGUGAUCCGGUGGUUCUGUAUGGAAGGGCCAUCGCUCAACGGAUAAAAGGUACUCUGGGGAUAACAGGCUGAUACCGCCCAAGAGUUCAUAUCGACGGCGGUGUUUGGCACCUCGAUGUCGGCUCAUCUCAUCCUGGGGCUGUAGCCGGUCCCAAGGGUAUGGCUGUUCGCCAUUUAAAGAGGUACGUGAGCUGGGUUUAAAACGUCGUGAGACAGUUUGGUCCCUAUCUUCCGUGGGCGCUGCAGAUUUGAGGAAGCCUGCUCCUAGUACGAGAGGACCGGAGUGGACACACCUCUGGUGUAUCGGUUGUCACGCCAGUGGCAUUGCCGAGUAGCUAAGUGUGGAAGAGAUAACCGCUGAAAGCAUCUAAGCGGGAAACUCGUUUCAAGAUGAGAUCUGCCGGGGCCUUGAGCCCCCUGAAGAGUCGUUCAAGACCAGGACGUUGAUAGGUCAGGUGUGGAAGCGCAGUAAUGCGUUAAGCUAACUGAUACUAAUUGCUCGUGCGGCUUGACCCU
rnacentral:rRNA from 1 species